UAAAGAAUGUGCCUGAGGAAUGGACCAGAAAGUCGGAACUCCUGGAUUCACACCCUGGCUUUGUCCCUGAUGCGUUGUGUGAUCUUGGGUGGGAGAUUAACAAGCAGUAGUCCCACACGGGCUGGGUGCGAGGACACAGAAGUGAUAGCUGACUGGAAUACUGCUUGCCCCUCGGCUGCAUCAGCAGCUGAUGACUGGACCAGAGCGUAAUGUCUCCUGAAGAGAAAAAGGUCAAAGCCCGUCAGACGUCCAGAGAAUGCAGCUGUCUCUCCUCUUCCAAGGCAUGCCGUUUAGAGAAAAAGACAGGCUCAGGUCCUGUCUUGUCCCCAAUGUAUAUCCCCCUAAAGCCUCUGAGAUUUACAAGCCAGGAAGGUUCUAACCUGACUCUCUGAUCCCAGGGGCUGUGGUAGAACUGUGAGAUGGCCACAUCGCUGGUGUUCCCUGCACCGAAGCUGAAUUUCUCCGAUAUCUUUUUAAAGGCCUUCCCAU